rnacentral:rRNA from 1 species
GACGAACGCUGGCGGCGUGCUUAACACAUGCAAGUCGAACGAUGAAGCUGAAGCUUUUGUUUUGGUGGAUUAGUGGCGAACGGGUGAGUAAUACGUGAGUAACCUGCCCUUGUCUUUGGGAUAAGCCUGGGAAACUGGGUCUAAUACCGGAUAUUCUGCUUCUGCCGCAUGGUGGGGGUUGGAAAGAUUUUUUUGGAUGGGGAUGGGCUCACGGCCUAUCAGCUUGUUGGUGAGGUAACGGCCCACCAAGGCGACGAUCGGUAGCCGGACUGAGAGGUUGAACGGCCACAUUGGGACUGAGACACGGCCCAG